UGAAUGGAUCAACGAGGGCCCCACUGUCCCCGCGUAGUACCCGGUGAAACCACAUAACGUGGACGAACAGUCCACGAUCUCCCAGCGGGAAAAGAAGUCCCUGUGGAGUUUUACUGCAGCCUGUCGCUGGAAUACGGUUAUGGAUGCAGAGUGUAGUCGGGAGCCGUCGAUCUUGCGUUCUCUGGGACGCAGGGGAGGCAACAAUGGAACACCGACUUUCUGUAACCGUGUUUCUUACCGGCUCCUUGCGGGCUGGAACAACGGUAGGUGGGCAGUUCGGCUGGGGCGGCACGCCCUUGAAAAGAUAUCAAGGGCGCCCUAAGGUUGGCUCAGGGGGGACAGAAACCCUCCGUAGAGUGCAAGGGCAAAAGCCAGCCUGACUGUAUCCCAAACAGUAAGGGAUGCAGAGGAGAAAUCCGGGCUUAGCGAUCAUCCAUGCUCCCCUUUGGUGGGGGCUGGAUGUGUCAGAAAAAUUACCCUAGGGAUAACAGGCUCGUCGCGGGCGAGAGUCCCCAUCGACCCCGCGGCUUGGUACCUCGAUGUCGGCUCUUCCUAUCCUGGUUCUGCAUAAGGAACCAAGGGUGAGGCUGCUCGCCUAUUAAAAGGGAACGUGAGCUGGGUUUAGACCGUCGUGAGACAGGUCGGACUUUAUCUGCUGGGAGUGUUGGCUGCCUGAGGGGAAAGGGUCCCUAGUACGAGAGGAACGGGACGCUGUAGCCUCUAGUUAACCGGUUGUCUGAUAAGGCAGUUGCCGGGCAGCCACGCUGUUGUGGAUAAGAGCUGAAAGCAUCUAAGCUCGAAGCCUCUCCUGAAAAGAGGCAGCCAUUCCAGUUUCACUGGACGAAGGCACCCAUAAAAGAUGGGUUUGAUGGAGCCGGGGUGUACGCUAGAAGACUUCGGUCGACUAGCUUAGCCUGCGGCCACCAAUCGCCUAAGUUGUCAAUCAA
rnacentral:rRNA from 1 species